CCUCUGUCUCCCCGCCCCUCGCCCUCGGCCCUUUCUCUCCCAGCACCUCGGGCGGCGGCGGCGACGACGACGACGACGACGACGACCCGAGCAGCAGCGAGCAGCGGGAGCAGGCGGCCUCGAGGACGAAGUGCAAGCCGAACCAGACGCGGACCUACGACCCGGAGGGGUUCAAGAAGCGGGCGGCGUGCCUGUGCUUCCGCAGCGAGCGCGAGGACGAGGUGCUGUUAGUGAGUAGCAGUCGGUACCCGGACCGCUGGAUCGUGCCGGGCGGGGGCAUGGAGCCCGAGGAGGAGCCGGGCGGUGCGGCGGUCCGAGAGGUGUACGAAGAGGCGGGAGUCAAGGGGAAGUUAGGCCGGCUCCUGGGCAUUUUCGAACAGAACCAAGAUCGCAAGCACCGAACGUACGUGUAUGUACUGACUGUCACUGAGAUUCUGGAGGAUUGGGAAGAUUCGGUUAGCAUUGGGAGGAAGCGAGAGUGGUUCAAAAUCGAAGAUGCGAUCAAGGUUCUCCGGUGCCACAAGCCCGUGCAUGCCGAAUAUCUGGAAAAACUAAAGCUGGGCGGUUCCCCAACCAAUGGAAACUCCGUGGCCCCGUCCCUGCCAGAGAGCGAUGCCUAGUACGUGAAUGGCAUAGAUGUUGUUCAGAUUUACUUUGAAAGAGUCAAGUAUGUGAACCCAAUGAUGAAUGGAAUUGUGAAGCACAGGUGAGCUCUUUUACAUUCCCAAGGACACAGCUCAUCCUAUGCUUUUGGACACUUCUUCCCUCUUUAUUAAAAUGACUAUUCUCCAGGUUGUUGUACUACCGCUGUAUCUGUACAGACUUCUAAUUUGGUACCUAUGGCCUUUUUAGUGCUUUUAUGAUUAUGUGUAUUUAUUUCCCACCAGGUUAUAUGACCUUGAGUGUAAGGACCUUGUUUCUCUAGUCUUUUUAUAUAUCUAGCAUACUAGACAUCACAGUGAUGUCUAGCAUAUGGUAGACAUCACUGAAAGUUUGUCCAAAUAAUUAAUAUUUUGUAAUGACACUGAGUGGUAAAGCAUUCACCUUCUAAUCUGGUGUUAGUUUAGUAAAUGCUGUCUGUCUAGCAUA